GACGGAACGUGCGAACGUUGUUCGGAAUCAUCUGGGACGUUAAAGGGCGCGUGAGGCGGCUUGGCAAGUGGAUGGUUGAAAGUCCCUCGGCUUAAACCGAGAACUAGCCGUCCAAACUGCUUUGCUUGAGGCCGGGAGAGGCGAGUGGAAUUCCCGAAGUGUAGCGGUGAAAUGCGUAGAUAUUGGGAGGAACAACCGAGUGGCGAAGGCGGCUCGGCUGGACCGGUUCUGACGCUGAUGCGCGAAAGCGGUGGGGAGCAAACGGG
rnacentral:rRNA from 1 species